GACGAACGCUGGCGGCGUGCUUAACACAUGCAAGUCGAACGGAAAGGCCCUGCUUUUGUGGGGUGCUCGAGUGGCGAACGGGUGAGUAACACGUGAGUAACCUGCCCUUGACUUUGGGAUAACUUCAGGAAACUGGGGCUAAUACCGGAUAGGAGCUCCUGCUGCAUGGUGGGGGUUGGAAAGUUUCGGCGGUUGGGGAUGGACUCGCGGCUUAUCAGCUUGUUGGUGGGGUAGUGGCUUACCAAGGCUUUGACGGGUAGCCGGCCUGAGAGGGUGACCGGCCACAUUGGGACUGAGAUACGGCCCAGACUCCUACGGGAGGCAGCAGUGGGGAAUAUUGCACAAUGGGCGGAAGCCUGAUGCAGCAACGCCGCGUGCGGGAUGACGGCCUUCGGGUUGUAAACCGCUUUCGCCUGUGACGAAGCGUGAGUGACGGUAAUGGGUAAAGAAGCACCGGCUAACUACGUGCCAGCAGCCGCGGUGAUACGUAGGGUGCGAGCGUUGUCCGGAUUUAUUGGGCGUAAAGGGCUCGUAGGUGGUUGAUCGCGUCGGAAGUGUAAUCUUGGGGCUUAACCCUGAGCGUGCUUUCGAUACGGGUUGACUUGAGGAAGGUAGGGGAGAAUGGAAUUCCUGGUGGAGCGGUGGAAUGCGCAGAUAUCAGGAGGAACACCAGUGGCGAAGGCGGUUCUCUGGGCCUUUCCUGACGCUGAGGAGCGAAAGCGUGGGGAGCGAACAGGCUUAGAUACCCUGGUAGUCCACGCUGUAAACGGUGGGUACUAGGUGUGGGGUCCAUUCCACGGGUUCCGUGCCGUAGCUAACGCUUUAAGUACCCCGCCUGGGGAGUACGGCCGCAAGGCUAAAACUCAAAGGAAUUGACGGGGCCCCGCACAAGCGGCGGAGCAUGCGGAUUAAUUCGAUGCAACGCGUAGAACCUUACCUGGGUUUGACAUGGAUCGGGAGUGCUCAGAGAUGGGUGUGCCUCUUUUGGGGUCGGUUCACAGGUGGUGCAUGGCUGUCGUCAGCUCGUGUCGUGAGAUGUUGGGUUAAGUCCCGCAACGAGCGCAACCCUUGUUCACUGUUGCCAGCACGUUAUGGUGGGGACUCAGUGGAGACCGCCGGGGUCAACUCGGAGGAAGGUGGGGAUGACGUCAAGUCAUCAUGCCCCUUAUGUCCAGGGCUUCACGCAUGCUACAAUGGCUGGUACAGAGAGUGGCGAGCCUGUGAGGGUGAGCGAAUCUCGGAAAGCCGGUCUCAGUUCGGAUUGGGGUUCUGCAACUCGACCUCAUGAAGUCGGAGUCGCUAGUAAUCGCAGAUCAGCAACGCUGCGGUGAAUACGUUCCCGGGGCU
rnacentral:rRNA from 1 species